ensembl:lncRNA
GUUCAGGGUCACUCGUAUCACCUUUCUUCACCAUUACAAUGAGAACACAAAUCCAUGAAGGAAAAAAGAUUUAUGAAACACAUUUCAGUGCAAAUAAAACAUCUUCAUGUUCCCUCGAUGGUCUUGGUGUGAGAAAUGAAAUAAAAACAAACAUUUUAAGGAUAAAAGACAAACAGGAAACAGCUGAUUGCAGACACAGCUUUAGUUACUUAUUGAAAUUCACAAAAUCAUUUUGUUGUUUUUGAAAGAGUUUAAUGUCAAUACAAAGUCUCAGCAGUUGGAGCACUUACUGACAUAACUAAGACUAUUUUGGUGUCACUCAGCUCUUUAUUUUUUGACCUUUCAGCAAAUUUCUUUAUACGUGACUUUCAAUCUGUUUCUUGUUAAACACAGACCACCAGAUUCAAGUAAUGAACUGCUGACAGGGCACUAACCAUUAAAUCCUUUUUUUAAAGAGUGCAACAAUAAAGCUGAGCUUCCUUUGUUGCUGCCAGGUGCUCUCAGAGACAAACAGCCCGCAGAUGUAGCUGGUCUGAGCUCCGUGAGCUGUAAAAAGUAUUGCCAGCAGAAUAAAAUCAAACAAAAACAGUUUAUUGUCUUCAGCACAAGCUACAUGUAAUGUGGUUCAGCAUAAGUUACUAAGCUGACCUGCUGUAAAGAGACACUGAAAACUCUGUGUCCACAUAUCUGUCUCAGUCAGCGGCUUCUCUUUCUGUUAUUUAACCUGAGGAGGUUUAAAACAGAAGUUUUGUUUUCAGCACACCUGGCAGCAACAGAAGGAGCAGCACCUGACCCACAUAACAUGAAACUUGUUUCAUGUCAGUACAAUCAGCUCUGCUGCUGCUCGGUGGUUUCCAUCCUCCUGUCCCAAAUGGCUUCUUUCAAAUUCUUCCUCUUUUUGUCUCUAAUCUCAGAGUUAACAGCUCUUCAGCAGGAUGUUCAGGUGAAGCUUGGAGAGGACGUCACUCUCCAGUGUCAGAUUUCCACAGAAGAAAUAAUCUCAGUGCUGAAGUGGAGCAGAGCUGACCUGAACACAGACGGCUACGUCUACUUCUACAGGAACAAACGCUCCUAUGAAAACUACCAACAUCCAUCUUUUCAUGGCCGAGUGAAGCUGAAGGACCCGGAGAUGAAGGAUGGAGACGUUUCUCUGAUCCUGAAGAAGGUCACGUUUAAUGACACUGGGAUGUAUGAGUGUCACGUAGCAGUGAGGAACCCUGGGAGAAGUAAAAGAGUUCACACUGAGAUCAGUCACUUCAUCAACCUCACAGUCACAGGUGAAACACAUGAAAGCGUGUCAGAGAAACGAGUCUUGGAAAGAGGAGACGCAGAUGAAAAUAUGGAUGAUACUGAAAGGGUCGGCGCUCCAUCUCUUCAGGUUGUUGUUCCUGUUGUUGUUGUUGCUCUUUUUGCCGUUGGUUUUGUGACACACCAACAAACUUGUCAACAUAAGAAGCAACGUCCAGUCAAGCUUCCUACUGAGGACUCAGAUGAAGGACUAUGAAGCUGCAGAAAUGUAUAAACUUGCUUGAUGAAAACUAAAGCACUGACAUUAACUCCUUUUAUAAAAUGUAUGUAUAUACAGAUCUUAAUAAAUUUGUUAGACCACAUCAUAAAAACAGAAACCACACACAGCAUUUUAAUACGAACUCUUUGUUUUCAGUGAAUUUUAAAAAAUACUCUUCAGAGUAAAUUUACAUUUUAAACUCAAACCUAAACCUGCACACUGUAAUUAUAUCAUAUAAAUAAUAAUAAUAAUUAUGUUCGCAUGAAAACAAUUUCUCAACAAAGAGGUUUCUGCUGGACAGAAACAUACAAUAAAUUAUUUUAGUAAUCAAACUGCAGCACUUCACAUUAAACUCCAUCUUUCACAGCAGUGUCAGUUUUAUUAAUUGUUAAGAGAUUUUCAAAUGUUUUAAGUAUUACUCCCACUUCCAUUUGUACGUUAUUGAAAGUUUAUCUUUAAUUUCAGUGUUAAUAGUUGUUUACCCAUUUAUUCUUUCCAUUUAAUCGUAUUUUAUGAUUUUACUGUUUCACCAGAAGUGAAGCUGAAGUAAAGACAAAAGCAUAGUGUUCUCAGAUAUGAUUUACCCAGUACAUCUCCUCUGCACCUGGCUCUCUACGAGCCGUUUCACUCCCAGGAAGGGGAGAGCAGGACGUUCUUAUCUACACUCCCAAAUACCAAGAGGGGCCCAUUCUUCAGAAUCACACACACAGACAGACACACACACACACACACACACACACACACACACAGAAAGCGGCAUAUAUGUGAUAUUUAGUGAUUAUCUACAGAACACACACACCCAGCUAAACUGGAACAAACCUGUUUCUCAGAGACAAAUCUUUGUCUCCUCCUUAAACAGUUGAAGCCACUAUGUGACUAUAAAUAAAAUCUCUGCCUGCGCUUGGGGUGGGAUCUCCUCGAGAUCUCACCCAGCGUGCGCACGUUGUUACCAUCCAAACUGUUUUGAGUGUCUUUAUUUCGCCUGAAGAAUGUCUUGUUCAAAUAUUUACUCUUUACAUUUAUUUGGUCCUUCGAGCCGGAUUUGGACAUUGAAUUUUAACUAAUCUUGUGCUCCAACAGAGUGACCUCGUCGUUUCCUGGAUUCGUGGACCCACGCUGCAAAGUCUGUCGCGACAGCCUGUUUCUAGUGAAACAGUAAAGACCAACUACGUGAAUUCGCCGUUGGCCAGCGUUUUUAGCAAGAGGUCCACGAUCCCAGGGAGCGAGGAGGAUUCUCUCUGACCGGCAUUUUCAUCCGAACCAGGUGAAUAUAAACACUCAAGAACACAUUGCGGCUAAAAUCGGUUUUUAGGUUGACACGGUUCUUAAGAGACUCGUCCUUUAAGGACUGGAAGUCGGGAAAAGACUCGUCCUUUAAGGUCUGGAAGUCGGGUAUUAAGACUCGCCUGUAACACGGAACUGGCAGUCCCCUGGGAGACUCGUUCCGCAAUUAAAAGGCUGGAAGUCAGGGAUCUCACUCUAAGAGUGAAUGGUAAAUAAAGAACGUGUCAAUUAAAAUAGGAUUAUAGUACCGCGUGUGAAGUUUAUGUGUUGUUGAGGAGUGAGUGACCUUUUGAAUAGAAACAAUAGGUUUCUGCACCACUCUUACUGUUUUCUGUGUUGACCGAUGUACUGGUGAGAAGGGGUCAAAGGUUGCGCUUCAACGCAUAAAAAUUAAGGCCGCCUGGGUCUAGACCAGGGUAGAAGGCUGCCUUAAUAACCUCCCCGACUCUAAUAUCAGUGAAGGUCACACAGAGUGUAUGUUGGCAGUAUUAAUAAAUAAAAGCAAAACAAGGUGUUUCCAAAUACAAUAAAUCGAAAUAAAUUAUAAGCAAUUUACAAUGGAUAACAACCUGUAAACUGGUAUUAACAAUGAAAUAUAGUUGGCAGGACGACCGUGCCUAGAAUGGAUAGAAUGCAUGAAACCAGAUAACUCACACAAACACAUAUUAAAUGAAAUAGAGAGAUGCAUAAGGUAUAUUAAGGUUGUGUCAUUGUUCAGCCAAGGAAAGUGUGUGAAAAGGAAAAUGUCUCCAGCUUGGGAAAGGGUGAGACUGCAGCUCACCCUCAGCCCUUGGUGGACACAAAUAAAAUAUAAAUAAGAUAUAAAAUAAUAAACUAUUGUAUAUUUGUAAUAUACUAUUGAUGUUAUAUAGAAAUAAGAGAAAAUAAUUAAGAGAUAAGAAUAUUAAUAAUAAAUUAAUAAUGACAUGAUGUUAAUAAGAAGAAGCAUGUUAUUCAGUUAUGAUGUGAGGUGGAUGAUUGAUAAAAGUAGUCUGAUUCAAGCUUAAGGUUUGCUCAAACUCAGUACAAUGAUAUAGGAGAUGAAGGAAAUAAAGAAAAUAUGUAAACUAAUUAAGUGCAUAGAGACACUUGACCCGCUUGUAAACCUGUCAUCCUAGAUGAGAUUUUGUUAAGAUGAAGAGCAAACCUAUACUACCAAGCUAAUGAGCAAGUUACACACUCUUUAUUUUGUAUUAAUUUUUUUUUGUUUUUCAGAACAGAAGCUGCAUGAUAUUAAAAGCUCACACAUGCAGCAGUCUGUGAGCUCAGUUUUUUCCUCACACUUCUGCUUUGUUUUUGACAGCAGUUCUUUUUCUUUUUGUGUCCCAACUCGUGUGUAAAGCGUUCAUGCCAUCAGCAACUUGUUUUUGUUUUUGUUUGUUUGUUUUGUUGGUUUGAAAAACAAAUUUGUGAUCAUACUUGUGGAUCACAGUGACACGAAAUGAUUAGGCACAUGAUUUACUGAUGCCUAGUUUUAGAGCUGUGAGCUACAGCUGUAAGCAAUGCAAAGUUUUUCCCAAUUUAGAAGUUUGACAUAUGUAACAUGUAUGAGAUAUAUGAAUUAUUUUAAAACGAAAUAGAAAUUGUCCAAAAUGCCUUAAGAAAAUAUGUAGUGCUGUAUCUACAGAGAAAAAAGGAAGAAGAAGCAUUCAGUAACUUGGAAAUAGCCUUUCUACUUGCAUGUAGAUGGAAGUGCAGGUUACGUGAAAGCUGUUUUAACACAGGCAUUUGGAGAAAAACAACGUCUGCUUGCAUUUUACUUCUGUAAAUUAGACUCUGUUGCGUCAGGCCUGCCCACAUGUGUGCCAGCCGGUGUAGCUGCAGCAGAGGCAGUAAAAAGUCAGCUGACAUUGUUUUAGGACACACUUUAAUCAUCAAAGUGCCCCAUGCAGUGAUUUCAAUUUUAAAUCUAAGCCAAUUUGUCUUACCUGACACAUGUGAGACAACUCUCAAAUGUUGGACACUUAUUGUCGCUAUAUGGAAAGUUCAACAAAGAGUUUGGUUAGUCUGGAGAAACAAGAAAUAUGUGUGCCUGUGGUAUGUGUAACAGGAACUACAUGCCCAUAAAAGGAGCUGACUGUGUCAAGGACGCAGACAGACAGAGAGACACACAGACAGUCAGUAUGUUUUUUCAGCAGAUCAAGCCGCAAAAGCAGCAUUAGUGACACACGGUUCCACUCAUGUGUCAACCGGAGGGAGAUGGUAGAUAUAAUCUCUAAACAUUUCUUUACUCAAAAUUUCAAAAAUUCAGCAAAAGAAUUUGUCAGAACAUGCAUGAUUUGCCAAAAACAUAAUGCACAGGGAAACCUCAGACCAAGAAGAGGUAACUUUCCCACACCACCUCAUCCUUUUCAUACCAUUCACAUGGAUUUUAUUGAGCCAAAUGAAGCCAAGGUUCAAAAAUACGCUCUAGUGAUUAUAGACGUGUUCUCAAAAUGGCCAGAAAUUUAUCCUGUGAAAAAGGCAGAUGCAAUUUCUGUAGCAAAAUGCCUAUGCAGCCAUUUUGUUCCAACAUAUGGCAUCCCCACUCUGAUAAGAUCAGACAAUGGGACACAUUUUGUUAAUGAAGUAAUCAGCAAGGUCUCUGAAGCACUAGGAUUCAGUAUCAAACACCACUGUGCUUACCACCCUCAAAGUGCCGGACUAGUGGAAAGAACUAACGGCACGAUAAAACAGAGAAGAAACAGGGAGACUAUGGGCUGAAUGUAAAGGUCUAGUGAAAAUGUGGAUGAGAUUAACACAAAACUCACAGAAACUAACACCAUUUGAAAUAUGGAAGACAUGGAAGACUUUUUCCCACUACUAAUACUGAGUGAACCAGUAAAACAAAUCAGCUAGAGAGACUACUCUAGCAGAGUGGAUGGAAAGGUUGCUAGAAAAUACAGAAACUGUGUUGAACAACAAACUGCUGUGUGACUCUUCUCCAGUAUCUUGCAGGUUAAAGGCAGGUGAUUGGAUCCUGAUAAGGGUGCUCCAGAGGAAAAAAAAUGGGAGCUCACCCCGUUGGGAAGGACCCUACCAAGUACUCCUGACCACACCAACAGCCUGCAAAAUAGCAGAAAGACCAUCCUGGAUCCAUCAAAGCCACUGUAAAGGAGUAAGCGAGAGCAUAGACUAACCGGACACUGACUUCCUUACCCUCGGGUGAUUCGUCAGGUGAAGGAAGUGCCGAUUGGGUAUAUCCCGCACUUUUUCUUCUUGCCUAAGUCCCCUGAGACGUGAGGUAAGCCAGGUAAACAUGAAGUCGCUCUUAAUCUCACUAACUCUGACAGUCCUAGUGGCAGGAUGUCUCAUCCCACUGAAGAUGGAUCCGAGGGAACGAACAAAGAAAGCUUGGACACAUGACAACUCACACCUGGACAAGAUGACGCAGGACCACAAUCAUCCCUGGAUGAACAACGCGUGGUACAGAUAUGUAUACAACCGCACGACAGAAAAGAACUACUUUGUUUGCUCACACAUGCCUGCAACUUCUGUCCAUGCAAUUAUUUAUGGGAAGGUUCCGUCACUUGAAACGAGCAUGUGCAUUCACAUGAAAGUCGUAAAUGGAACUUGUUCACAUAGAGACAUGUUUAUAGUGAGAGCCCCAGCGUUUUCACUGUUGACCUACGACGUGAAUAACCUAACAGCUACAAACUGGACGUGUGACGAAGCACACUGGGUGAACGUGUCAAACAAAAGAAUAAUGACAUUUCCAGCUUUCUUGCAGAGUGAAGAACGUCACCCGAUAUGUUUCGACUUCUCAUACGGAAGGACAAAACUUGGUCAAACCAAGAACUGCAGUAUAGUCUGGAAGGACAAUGCCGAUGCAGCUAUGACUUUUAAGCGUGGCACAUACUGGGUCCAGGGGACAGCUUGGGUGUGUGGACAACGUGCCUACUUCAUACUGCCACCCGGAUGGACGGGCACCUGUGCCCUAAUCUUCAUUUCAGAUCACACCUUCAGGAUGUCAGCUGUAAAUAGCUCUCAGACUACAAGACGACGACGAGACGUCUCCGCAGUGCAACCAUAUGACCCCAUCUAUGGCAGUGAUGUGCCAGAGGAAUUUAAGCUUUGGACUGUUCCUGAAUGCCUCGUGCAAAAUCAACAAUCAACAAAAUGAAGAGAUUGAUGCCCUGCGCAUAACUGUGAUGCAACACCGAGUCGCACUGGACAUGAUUCUGGCUGAAAAAGGAGGACUCUGUAUACUCUUUAACAACACAUGCUGCACAUACAUUCCAGAUAAUGUACACUCAUCCAACAUGACUGAUGCAGCACAAGUAAUUUAUUGUAUGAGGGAAAAUUCUAUUUCUAAUAUAGUAAAUUGGGAGAUGCUUUCUGCUUGACUGAUGCUCUGAGCAUACUUAGACAACUCAGGGAUGCACAACAACAAGACUACGUCACAAAUACAGAAGACUGGCUCACGUGGUUGUUAAGCAGCUCUUGGAAAUCCCUGCUGUUUAAAGGACUUGUUUUAGUUGGUGUUCUACUAUUGUUAUUGUGUUUUUCCACUUCAUGCGUCAUACCUUGUUUGAAGAACAUGGUGUCAAAAAUGGUAACUGCUUCAAUUAAUGCUUACAUCACCCUACCACAGAAUGAAGAAGAUGAUAAUGAGAUAGACAUUUGGAUAUAACAUAUUCACAAAACCCACUAAUUAAUGAUGUCCUGGCUAAAAAUGUUUUACAAGUGGCCAUAGACUGAUACAGUGUUAGUGAGUUGCUAUGUAUAUAUAUAUAUAGGAGAAAAGUUAAAAUGUGUAAAACAAAUUAACAACAGGAGGGAUAUGUUAAGAGAUUUUCAAAUGUUUUAAGUAUUACUCCCACUUCCAUUUGUACGUUAUUGAAAGUUUAUCUUUAAUUUCAGUGUUAAUAGUUGUUUACCCAUUUAUUCUUUCCAUUUAAUCGUAUUUUAUGAUUUUACUGUUUCACUAGAAGUGAAGCUGAAGUAAAGACAAAAGCAUAGUGUUCUCAGAUAUGAUUUACCCAGUACAUUUCCUCUGCACCUGGCUCUCUACGAGCCGUUUCACUCCCAGGAAGGGGAGAGCAGGACGUUCUUAUCUACACUCCCAAAUACCAAGAGGGGCCUGUUCUUCAGAAUCACACACACAGACAGACACACACACACACACACAGAAAGCUGCAUAUAUGUGAUAUUUAGUGAUUAUCUACAGAACACACACACCCAGCUAAACUGGAACGAACCUGUUUCUCAGAGGCAAAUCUUUGUCUCCUCCUUAAACAGUUGAAGCCACUAUGUGACUAUAAAUAAAAUCUCUGCCUGCGCUUGGGGUGGGAUCUCCUCGAGAUCUCACCCAGCGUGCGCACGUUGUUACCAUCCAAACUGUUUUGAGUGUCUUUAUUUCGCCUGAAGAAUGUCUUGUUCAAAUAUUUACUCUUUACAUUAAUGUAGCAGAUUUUUGGAGUCUGUUUCUGAAUGUUUGCACAGAUUUGACUGACCUCAGGUCAGCAUGCAGCUUGUUCACAAGAAUGGGACCACGGUCACUGAAUGCACCUUCAGCACAUUUACAUCUAAUACUGGGAACAGUUAAAAAAUCCGAAGCCCUGACUGUAAAUCCAUUUAUAAACACACUGCAGGCCAUGAUUUCUAGUCUACUUCUCCUUUGUGGAUUGAGUCAGGAAGAAUUAACUUCUUUGUUUUCUUUUAUUUACUUUUAUUAAUGUGAAAUCAUUUAGGGAAAAAAAAGUUAUGCAGCAAUAGUUCAAUCAACAUCCAUAAUUAAGCACCAACCUUUAGUUUAAAAGGUUGCAGAGAUUUGAUUCAUUGUUUUCACACACAGAGUCGACACCUUUAUUCUUAUAUCAUCUUUGGGAUGUUCUGGAGAAGACUGCAGCUGUUUGAUUCUCCAGUUAUCAAUACUUUACAUAUAAUUACUGAAAUUUAUGCCUCAUCAAAUGUUUCCCUUCAUCAAAGUCAAAGGCAGUGUAUUGAAAGGUUGAAGGAAAGUGUGCAUGUCCAGAUUAUCCAGUUGCAUUAAUUUAUGCAAUUAUGCAUUAUGCAGCUGUUCCUGAUGUGCUGAUGGCAGCGUUACUACACAGAAGUUUAAAUCAGGAAGUUCAAAGCAUUUCUGCAUCAACAGGAACUGUCUGAAUGAUUAAACAUGUAAAUGUUUUGCAAAUAUGCAGCUCCUCUGUGAACUGUAAACAUUAAUGCACAUCAAUGAAAAAUACUGUUGAAAUUUAAAGUAUUUUUUUAAUAUCUUUGACUUUUAAAUGAAUCGAUUCAGGUUUAGUUAUCAGAGAGUUUGUGUUCUUUCUUUUACACUAAAGGAAUCCGGGUGAUUUUUAAUGAUAAUUUAUUUACUUGUAUCAAAGGUACCAUUGAAACAUUGUGUACAUGAUAGAUGUCCAACAUGUUGACAAUGAAAUGAAAGCAGCUGCUUUUAUGUCAUUAUUUUUUGGGUCCAGGCCAUUUAUGCACAGUUAACCAAAAUGAGCUCAACACCCCCAUCUUCAAUCACUUUGUGCUUAAAAAUCUUUUAAAUGUUUAAUAUUUAAAAGGGAUUGUUAAACCUCACUGUGAACAUGAUGUGAAAUAAACAAACCCUCUGUGGAGCCUAAACUGAGUAGAAAAAAAGUAUGUGUAUUUGUACACACUUUAAAAUGGUACUUAAAGUAAUUUUUCUUCCUCUGGUGGUCAUGAAUGAAACAAUCAGUGUUUUUUUGAACAGCUGUUAAUGUAAUGUUCCAGUUUGACCUCCGGGUGGCAGUGUUGUCUCACGUUGGCUAAGCAUACAGAAGAAUAUACUGUAAGAACAUGUGUUUAAACAUUAAAAAGUGAUUUUUUAAAAAACGAUUUUUUCCCUUCUUCCCCAGAUUCAACAAAAGGCACACCACUCAGAAUUCUUCUAAACAUUUGGAUAUUAAUAUUUGUCCCCCACACCACAAAGAAGACAUAUAAUCUUAAUUACAGAUCAGUGCAGAAGAAUUUAUCCACUGCAAUAUUUCAGUUUGACCUCAUAUGGCAGUGUGUUUUUUACGACCCAGACUAUAAAUAACAUCCAGCCAUCCAUUCGCUUCCAAUUAUCCUUUUCAGGGUCGCGGGGGGUGCUGAAGCCUAUCCCAGCUGUCAUGCAGUUUGUGGGGAUAGCUUAACUGAUUGGUCUAAAUUGCCCAUAGGUGUGAAUGCGGGAGUGAAUGUGAGUGCGAAUGGUUGUCUGUCUCUGUUAGCCCUGCGACAGACUGGGCAUUAACAGGGAAAGGGGGGCACAAAUAAAUACUUUUCUUUCUUAAUCUCAUUUAAAAUAUCUAGCUUUAAUAAAUAAUUAUCUGAAUCUUCAAACCAAAGUUUUUAUCUGACGUAAAAUGUAUAGAAAUCAUACAUAUACCAACAAGACAGUUGUCAUCACUGUCACAGCAGCGUUUGUUUUCAUUCAAAGGCUUUAUGGCUUUUCCUGUAAUACCUGGUGGGCUGGUCUGUAGUCAAAAUGCCUGGGCCGAUUUUUUGUCCCAGUCCAGCCCUGGUUGCAGUUCUAAUUCAGCCAUCCCACACCACACAGCACUGAGACACUUCUCUUUGACAAAAAACAAACAAAAUAAAACUAUCCUGUUGGCUCUCUUUCAUUUUAAAACCUCAUAUAUGGCAGAAUGGUCCAAAAGUUUAAUGUGAACAUUCUGCAAGAAGUACUGAGUUUCAGGCAUGGUACUUUGACACAGUACAUUUAUGUGUUUAGAAAUAAAAGCUGCACAUAAAUAACAAAGCGCUGCUUCUUUUUCUCCAGUUGUUUAAACUAUUUGUAGAGACAGAGAGAAUCAGUCUGAUCACUGGAACCAGUAACAAAUGUACUGAGCAACAUACUGACAUCACUGCUGAGCCAAGUUGACCAGGAUACAAACACGAUUAACACUAUAAUGAAUAGUUUAACACCGGUUUAACAUUUGCCUUGUAAAUCAGGUUAACAAUGAAAUACAUGUUGGUGGCUGUUUGAUUCAGAGGUCUCUUUUAUCUUUAGUUUUU